rnacentral:rRNA from 1 species
UAUGUGAUCGUCUCUCGCAUAUCAAUAAGCGGAGGAAAAGAAACUAACAAGGAUUCCCCUAGUAACGGCGAGUGAAGCGGGAAGAGCUCAAAUUUGAAAUCUUAAAGGGUUUCCCUUUACGAAUUGUAGUUUAAAGAAGUGUUUUCUGUUGAGGUUUUGGUAAAAGUUCUUUGGAAUAGGACAUCAUAGAGGGUGAGAAUCCCGUAUUUGACCUUUACUUUCAACUUUGUGAUACACUUUCAAAGAGUCGGAUUGUUUGGGAAUGCAGUCCAAAAUGGGUGGUAAAUUUCAUCUAAAGCUAAAUAUUGGCGAGAGACCGAUAGCGAACAAGUACCGUGAGGGAAAGAUGAAAAGAACUUUGAAAAGAGAGUUAAACAGUACGUGAAAUUGUCAAAAGGGAAGCGUUUGACACCAGUGUUGUUUUUCUGAAGAUCAAUUAAAGAACUGUUUAUGCUAAGUUGUUUAGACUUUAUCAGCUAACUGUUUAGUUUUGAGCUUUUCUUUAAUGCACUUUACAGUUAACAAGUCAACAUCAAUUUCUUUUGCUGUAAAAAAGCUUGAGGAAGGUGGCUUGAGAUUCGUCUUAAGUGUUUAUAGCCUCUUGCCUAUGCAGUCGGAGAGAUUGAGGUCUGCAGCGUAGAUCCUUCGGGGCUAAAUGCAUUUGUGCUAAGUUAUAGCAUUUUAUAGACAACUUGUUGACUAUGAUUUGUCUUGUAGCUUACUCGCUUAUGUUAUUUUACCUACGCUUAGGAUGUUGACUGAUAUGUAGUCGUA